rnacentral:rRNA from 1 species
GCAGUCGACGCAGUUUUUACUUGAGUGGCGGACGGGUGAGUAACACGNNNCCUNNAAANNNUUAGGCGGGGAAUAACUAUGGGAAACCAUAGCUAAUGCCCCAUAUGCUCGUAAGAGUGAAAGGAGCAAUCCACCCAAAGAGAAGCUCGCGGCUGAUUAGCUAGUUGGUAAGGUAAUGGCUUACCAAGGCGACGAUCAGUAGCUGGUUUGAGAGAACGAUCAGCCACACUGGAACUGAGACACGGUCCAGACUCCUACGGGAGGCAGCAGUGGGGAAUUUUCCGCAAUGGGCGCAAGCCUGACGGAGCAAUACCGCGUGAGGGAUGACGGCCUUUGGGUUGUAAACCUCUUUUAUCAAGGAGGAAGUUCUGACGUGUACUUGAUGAAUAAGCAUCGGCUAACUCCGUGCCAGCAGCCGCGGUAAGACGGAGGAUGCAAGUGUUAUCCGGAAUCACUGGGCGUAAAGCGUCUGUAGGUGGUUUAAAAAGUCUACUGUUAAAAAUUGAAGCUUAACUUCAAAGAUGCCGUAGAAACUUUUAAACUUGAGGAUGGUAGGGGUAGAGGGAAUUUCCAGUGGAGCGGUGAAAUGCGUAGAUCUUGGAAAGACCACCAAUGGCGAAGGCACUCUACUGGGCCAUGACUGACACUAAGAGACGAAAGCUAGGGGAGCAAAUGGGAUUAGAUACCC